rnacentral:rRNA from 1 species
UACGUAGGGGGGCAAGCGUUGUCCGGAUUUAUUGGGCGUAAAGAGCUCGUAGGCGGUGUGUCGCGUCGGCCGUGAAAACCUGGGGCUUAACUCUGGGCGUGCGGUCGAUACGGGCAUCACUAGAGUUCGGCAGGGGAGACUGGAAUUCCUGGUGUAGCGGUGAAAUGCGCAGAUAUCAGGAGGAACACCGGUGGCGAAGGCGGGUCUCUGGGCCGAUACUGACGCUGAGGAGCGAAAGCGUGGGGGAGCAAACAGG